rnacentral:tRNA from 1 species
AAUCGUCUUACAGUAGUUGGUUAUCACGUAUCCUUAACAAAUUUCCGGAUAAGGUCUUGAGUUCGAUCCUCAAAUCGAUCA